rnacentral:rRNA from 1 species
AACAAACGCUGGCGGCGUGCAUAACACAUGCAAGACUAACGGGAAUGUCGGCUUCGGCCGGCUAGUACCGUGGCGAACGGGUGAGUAACACGUGGGUAAUCUAACCUCGAGUUUGGGAUAACCUUGCGAAAGCGGGGCUAAUACCGAAUAAGACCACGCUUGGUUCGCCAAGUGCGGUAAAAGGCGGCCUCUUCUUGAAAGCUGUCACUUGAGGAUGAGCCCGCGGCCUAUUAGCUAGUUGGUGGGGUAAUGGACUAACAAGGCGACGAUGGGUAGCCGGCCGGAGAGGGUGUACGGCCACACGGGCACUGAGAUACGGGCCAGACUCCUACGGGAGGCAGCAGUGGGGAAUUUUGCGCAAUGGGGGAAACCCUGACGCAGCAACGCCGCGUGAGUGAUGAAGGCCUUCGGGUCGUAAAGCUCUUUUAGUGGGGAAGAAUCCCACCCGGGAUAAUACCUCGGGUGUCUGACGGUACCCACAGAAAAAGUUCCGGCUAACUACGUGCCAGCCGCCGCGGUAAAAC